GCAGUGGUGGUAUCAGUGGCAGAAUUCUCACCUUCCAUGCAGGAGACCUGGGUUCAAUUCCCAGCCAAUGCA
rnacentral:tRNA from 1 species